UGCAAAAUACGUAAUUUGCCACCAUAGGGAGUCUCACUACAUUGCCUUGGAUAACCCCCCACCAUCAUCUCACCGGCUUCAGGGAGAAACAGCCCGGCUCAACGCUGGAGCCCGGGCUGACACUGCGGCAAGUGUUUAGUGUCCCGGGGGCCUCCGCCCUGACGAUCGGUCGAAACUGUAGAUGUUGAAGAAGCAACCCAUUGGUAAGCUCUUCAACCGGAGCAGUAGAGUAUCCUGAGAGAAGCAGACACAAGAAGUUGAAGGAAAACACCAAACUCUUAUGAAGAGGGGAAGAAAAUAUAAGGCAAGUUUAGGGCUACUUUGAAAUAAAUUAAACACAGAUCUGUCACAGUUCCUCUAUGCCUCCAGUGCCCCUCCCCUCUCGUUUCUCCUUUUCCACAGGUGCUGUACAUCCCGGUGAUGACCCGGCUCUCCAGGCGCACCUGCACCAAUCAACUCCGGGCUUUAUCUGCCCUGGCUGUGCUGCGAGUCAUCGCCAGUUCGUCCUCGUUACUACAGUGGAAUUAACCCUUGGACCCUCGUGUCUUCCUUAACCCUGAAGAUCUCACGGAGCUCUCAGCCGUCCUGACUACCACCACCCUGAAGAUCUCACGGAGCUCUCAGCGGUCUCGUCUACCACCACCCUGAAGAUCUCACGGAGCUCUCAGCGGUCUUGUCUACCACCACGCUGAAGACCUCACGGAGCCAGCAGCGGACCCGUAAUUCUGUUCUCUCCUACGAUUA